rnacentral:rRNA from 1 species
GCAACCCUGACGGAGCAACGCCGCGUGCGGGAGGACGGCCUGUGGGUUGUAAACCGCUUUUCUCAGGGAAGAAGUUCUGACGGUACCUGAGGAAUCAGCAUCGGCUAACUCCGUGCCAGCAGCCGCGGUAAUACGGAGGAUGCAAGCGUUAUCCGGAAUUAUUGGGCGUAAAGCGUCCGUAGGCGGUGAUUUAAGUCUGCUGUCAAAGACUGCAGCUCAACUGUGGAUAGGCAGUGGAAACUGAAUCACUAGAGAACGGCAGGGGUAGAGGGAAUUCCCAGUGUAGCGGUGAAAUGCGUAGAUAUUGGGAAGAACACCAGUGGCGAAGGCGCUCUACUGGGCCGUAACUGACGCUGAGGGACGAAAGCUAGGGGAGCG